rnacentral:lncRNA from 1 species
GAUUAUCCUGAUCAAGAUUUUACUAGAUUGAGAUAUAGUGAUGCAUUAACUCCUGUAAACUGGAGGGAUUAAUCCCAUCUUGACUCAUACACUAACUUUACAAGUACUUGACUGUACCCAAUAGCCUUCCAUCACUAUAUUAAAAAUACAGAUAGUCCGACACUAAAGCAUAGUGAGUUGCUUAUAAGUCACCAUGGUGAUUUC